rnacentral:misc_RNA from 1 species
CUCUCUCAAGCCUUCGGGUUUGGUAUUGAGUGAUACUCUUCUUUGUGUUAACUUGAAAUACUGUGGCAAGAGCUGCUGUAGCAGAUCUCCUCUGAACUAACGUUUCUAGGUUCUACCAAUUCGUUAUGGGCAGUUGAAGUCUCUUCUAGCAUAUAGGCUCGGCCUUUACAAUAUCUCCAUAA